rnacentral:rRNA from 1 species
AAUCAACGCUGGCGGCGUGCCUAACACAUGCAAGUCGAACGCGAAAGUCCCGCAAGGGAUGAGUAGAGUGGCAAACGGGUGAGUAACACGUGGGUGACCUGCCUUCGAGCGGGGGAUAACGUCCCGAAAGGGACGCUAAUACCGCAUGACACCCUGCCUUUGAAGAGGUGGAGAUCAAAGCUGGGGAUCGCAAGACCUAGCACUUGAAGAGGGGCCCGCGUCUGAUUAGCAGUUGGUGGGGUAACGGCUCACCAAGGCAACGAUCAGUAUCCGGCCUGAGAGGGCGGACGGACACACUGGGACUGAGACACGGCCCAGACUCCUACGGGAGGCAGCAGUGGGGAAUUGUUCGCAAUGGGCGCAAGCCUGACGACGCAACGCCGCGUGGAGGA